GGCAGAGUAGAAGCACACGUGCUGGAUCUGGCGCCUUAGUGUCGGCGGGACGGGGAGUUGUCCGCCGGACGAACAGUCCGCCUUUGGGCGGGCGGCAGUGUGUGUUUCGCAUCCCGCUGCC
rfam:Ruminococcaceae bacterium D16 genomic scaffold acsPy-supercont2.1, whole genome shotgun sequence.